ACAAAAAUGCAUUUGUUUUAAUGCAAAGCUCGAAAUAUUAAAAAUUCACAUGCUCCCAAUCAAUGCAAUGCUCUCUGGGAAGGUUCUGUGGCCGGCACCCCGGCACCUACCAAUGAAAAUUGCAGUUGCGUUAUUGAAAAUACAAGCUGAUGCCCAUUUCUUCUGCUUCUGGGAGAGGUGUGGAAUCAAUAUGCCGAUAUGAAGUAUGUUGUUGGGGUUGUUGUAUGCUCCUUCUGCGAACAUGCAUAACACCAAAAAUGUUGUGGUGUUUAGUAUUAUUAAGUCUAAGCUCCUUUAGACCAUAUUAUUCCUAGCUUUUGCCCAUAAGUUUCUUAAAUUCUUAAAUGAUGUAUUUUUUAAAAAAAAUGUAUAGAGGAUAAUCAUUUCAUGUUUCUAAAUUAGAUUUUUUAAUUUUAUAGUAGUUAGUUUCAUCAUUUAUAUCAUAAAAUAUAUAUUAAAAAAUAGAUAAUUUUUCACCUUCAUCUAACAAAAGAAUACAGUCUAAACAUGCACCAUCCUCGCAUGGUUCCUUUGUCCCACCAUCGAUGGCUCUCCGUCUCCCAUGUGCUCCUGUCGAUCUGAACGGAUCAUUCAGAUUCAGUAUCAGUGCACCUACAUGAGACACUCCGUUUUCUCCAAUGUAAUGACGACGGAACCAGAUCGUCUGGCGUUG
rnacentral:lncRNA from 1 species